rnacentral:rRNA from 1 species
UACGUAGGGGGCAAGCGUUGUUCGGAAUUACUGGGCGUAAAGGGCGCGUAGGCGGCCUGUUAAGUCGGACGUGAAAUCCCCGGGCUCAACCCGGGAACUGCGUCCGAUACUGGCAGGCUUGAAUCCGGGAGAGGGAUGUGGAAUUCCAGGUGUAGCGGUGAAAUGCGUAGAUAUCUGGAGGAACACCGGUGGCGAAGGCGGCAUCCUGGACCGGCAUUGACGCUGAGGCGCGAAAGCCAGGGGAGCAAACGGG